AUUGAACGCUGGCGGCAGGCCUAACACAUGCAAGUCGAACGAGUGGCGGACGGGUGAGUAAUGUCUGGGAAACUGCCUGAUGGAGGGGGGUAACUACUGGAAACGGUGGCUAAUACCGCAUACCAUCGGAUGUGCCCAGAUGGGAUUAGCUAGUAGGUGGGGUAAAGGCUCACCUAGGCGACGAUCCCUAGCUGGUCUGAGAGGAUGACCAGCCACACUGGAACUGAGACACGGUCCAGACUCCUACGGGAGGCAGCAGUGGGGAAUAUUGGACAAUGGGCGCAAGCCUGAUGCAGCCAUGCCGCGUGUAUGAAGAAGGCCUUCGGGUUGUAAAGUACUUUCAGCGGGGAGGCGGUAUCUGCAGAAGAAGCACCGGCUAACUACGUGCCAGCAGCCGCGGUAAUAC
rnacentral:rRNA from 1 species